GUUAUUGGAUUUCUGGAUUAUUGACCCCUGGACUGGUUUUUGGAUGUGGAUUUUGGAUCACGGAAUAAUCUACUCUGCCCAGACGGAGAUAUUCAUUAUCACCCACUUCCGUGGGUUGGAGACCCUGACCCCCGCCAGUUAUUCCCCACUAACCUGUUCUUUACCCAGCAGUUAUCCACCCACUCCAGUGGACUCCCCGUCCGGCUUCCCGGGUUCUGCCUGUACGAUCUCACCAAACUGCACUACAGCACCCGAAGAGCUGACCGAACGAGACCGGAUAGAUCACCAGUGCACAUUUACAUUGUUCAAAUAAAUUCCUUUUUACCUUU